rnacentral:rRNA from 1 species
UACGUAGGGGUCCGAGCGUUUGUCCGGAAUUACUGGGCGUAAAGAGCUCAUAGGUGGUUUGUCGCGUUGUUCGUGAAAAACUCACAGCUUAACUGUGGGGCGUGCGGGCGAUACGGGCAGACUGGAGUACUGCAGGGGAGACUGGAAUUCCUGGUGUAGCGGUGGAAUGCGCAGAUAUCAGGAGGAACACCGGUGGCGAAGGCGGGGUCUCUGGGCAGUAACUGACGCUGAGGAGCGAAAGCGUGGGGGAGCGAACAGGA